rnacentral:rRNA from 1 species
GGGCCCGCGUUUCAUUAGCUUGUUGGCGGGGUAACGGCCCACCAAGGCAACGAUGGGUAGCCGAUUUGAGAGGAUGAUCGGCCACACUGGAACUGAAACACGGUCCAGACUCCUACGGGAGGCAGCAGUGGGGAAUAUUGCGCAAUGGGCGAAAGCCUGACGCAGCGACGCCGCGUGAGGGAUGAAGGUUUUCGGAUCGUAAACCUCUGUCAGAAGGGAAGAAACUACGUUGUGCUAAUCAGCAGCGUACUGACGGUACCUUCAAAGGAAGCACCGGCUAACUCCGUGCCAGCAGCCGCGGUAAUACGGAGGGUGCAAGCGUUAAUCGGAAUUACUGGGCUGUCAUAAGCGCACGUACGCGCUGCUGAUGCUAUAGUCAGGGGAUGAAAUCCCNCGGCUCAACCGUGGAACUGCCUUUGAUACUGCACAMYUUGAAUCCGGGAGAKGGUGG